AGCGAACGCUGGCGGCAGGCCUAACACAUGCAAGUCGAACGAACCCUUCGGGGUUAGUGGCGGACGGGUGAGUAACACGUGGGAACGUGCCUUUAGGUUCGGAAUAACUCAGGGAAACUUGUGCUGAUACCGAAUGUGCCCUUCGGGGGAAAGAUUUAUCGCCUUUAGAGCGGCCCGCGUCUGAUUAGCUAGUUGGUGAGGUAAUGGCUCACCAAGGCUACGAUCAGUAGCUGGUCUGAGAGGAUGACCAGCCACAUUGGGACUGAGACACGGCCCAAACUCCUACGGGAGGCAGCAGUGGGGAAUCUUGCGCAAUGGGCGAAAGCCUGACGCAGCCAUGCCGCGUGGAUGAUGAAGGUCUUAGGGUUGUAAAUCCUUUCACCGGUGAAGAUAAUGACUGUAGCCGGAGAAGAAGCCCCGGCUAACUUCGUGCCAGCAGCCGCCGUAAGAC
rnacentral:rRNA from 1 species